CCAAUGCUUUUUAACAUCAACAUGAAACCUCUGGGAGAGAUCAUCAGGAGGUUUGGUCUGCAAUGUUAUCAAUAUGUUGAUGACACCUAGAUCUAUUUCUCCAUAUCAACUUCAUCAGGAAAUUGCAUGACCCCCACCCCAAUGCCUGACUGGAGAGAUUCCAACAUCAUUGUUUAGAUGGCGCAUUUGUGCAUUGGUUGCAUUAAUUCUGUGUCUACUGUUACUGGUAGGCCUGCUAGCACUGGGUAUUAUACUUAUCCAGGUUACCAUGGAUUUGCAGUUACAGCACAGACACCUCCAGUUGGCUUGGGAAGAUCUAAAAACAAAUUCAUCAAGGAGAAUCUUAAACAUGAAAGCAAAUUUAUGCCUGAAAGGAGAGAAAGAGAACACAAACAGUGGUGAGAGGACUCUGCCUCUUCUACUUUGACCCAUCAUGCAGGUGUGAACACAAGGAGACAGAUGCAAAACCUCAUCAGCUGAAAAUGUAAAGAGCAGAGUGUGGUAAAAGACAAAUGGUCAGAUAUUUGUGGCAAUCUAGUAGGUCUCCAUCUGCAUUCAUGCAGAUAAACAAGCAAGUUGUGCAUUGGUGCUAUUCAGGGGUGGAGCCACCAUUGAGCGCAUGGGUUCAAAGAACCUGGCCCAGUUUUGCAUUGUCUUGCUCCCCAGCCACGCCCCCUGCAUCUGACAUCGGACGCAGUGAGUGUAGCUUUCCUUGCAAACGGGGCCACGGGCCCCAUUUGUGAGCAAAUUCUUGGGCCACUGCUACAUUUGCUGCGUGGCCAGAGCAGUUGGUUCUGGCUGCCCUGUGAAUGUGGCACUGGCCGGGGAUUUUGCCACGUGCCCAUUUGCAAGCAAAGUUAUGCUCCCUGUGUCCAACCUAAAAGGCAGGAAGAGCUGCUUACGCAGCUCUGGCCGGGUUCCCCACCCCCCCCAACAGGGCCAAGUGACUCUGUUGCAAUCAAAGCUACGCUCCCUGCGUCUGAUGUCAGGUGCAGUAGGUGGGGCUUAAGUGGUUGCCAUCAGAUGCAGGGGUGGGGCUUGGGGGCCACAGCGGUGGGCUGGAUCUGGCCUCCCUCCACUCCUGGUGCUGUUAUGUAUGCCAAGGGUGCUGCAGAUGCGAUCUAUUAUAUGCUGUAAAUGCCACACCCUGGAUGUGCAAAAAUACAAUGCCAAGAGGAAUCACAAGCCCAAACUGAGUCACCCUGUGCUGAACAGUAACCUUCUUUCUGUUUCCUCUUGCAUUGAAUUUCCAUGGGCUGAUAAUGUGGACUCUGCCUAAGCAAAUCAAAUAAGGGUGCUUCUCCAUGGCAUUUUUUUCUGGAUGCAGUUGGAUGUUGACUUCAGAGCUGCCUCAAAAUAUCUGCCUGGCAGCCUGGCUUGGGAUCAGUAUCUUGGGAGGCGAGAUAGGCAGGUUGUUGCUUGAAUCUGUGCAGUCCUCAGAGACAGAUUAUUGGAGGUACAAACUCCAUCUGGAGGAAGGAGAGCAACAAAAACUGUCCCCUCCUCCCACCUGUUGAGAUGGUGGAGAAAGACUGUAGAGCUCUUCUUCUUUUUGGAAUUCCACAAGGCAGAGAAAGACUGUAAAGCUCACUUCUUUUUUGAAGUCCACAAGGUUUCUGUCUUCAUAGCUCUGUGGAAAAUGUCAGGUGGUAAUAAUAAUAACAACAACAACAACAACAACAACAACAACAACAACAACAUGAAGAAUGGAUCUGAAGUGCACACUCUGUCCCACCAGUUGGCAUUUAUUUGGUGCCACAUGCUAUUAUAUUUCAAGGGGCAAGAAGACUUGGCGGGAAAGUAAGAAGUUUUGUUCCUUAUGGAAUUCCACCCUUUUGAUCCCUCAAGAGAAGAGCAAAAACUGGGUACAGAACACUUUCCGACAAACAAAUUUUUGGAUUGGAAUAUAUAAGAACAGAAGUGGCCAAUGGUUUGGGACCAAUGUACCAGUGAUCCAGAAAUGGUUUUCCCUCCGAAAUGCCAGGAAUCAGGAAGAAUGUGCCUACCUGUCCUCUUCGCAUGUCUAUAGCGAAACAGGAUGUCAUUCGGAAACAUUCCAUCACUGGAUAUGUCAGAAGGCAGCCUAUGAGUUGACUUAAGAAGGAGGUCUGACUAACAGGAUGUUUGCUUAUUAGGGCGCCAUUGUUAAUUAUUAUUAUUAUUAGGAAGGCUCCGCUGAAUUGGCUUGCCUGUUGAAAGGAGUGGAUUACAUGAACCAUUCUAUCUAUAAUUUCCUUGUUUAAAAUCUAAAACCUAAAUUGCAUUUAAAUGUUGUGCCUCACUGCAGGCUCCUUCAGAAAUGCAGAUUAAUAUUUUAAAAGAGUAACUACUAUA